rnacentral:tRNA from 1 species
CGGUCCCGUAGCUCAGCCGGAUAGAGCGACGGUUUCCUAAACCGUAGGUCGGAAGUUCGAGUCUUCCCGGGAUCGCCAU